GAUGAACGCUGGCGGCGUGCUUAACACAUGCAAGUCGAACGGAAAGGCUCCUGCUUGCAGGGGUACUCGAGUGGCGCACGGGUGAGUAACACGCGGGUGAUCUGCCCUGCACUUCGGGAUAAGCCUGCGAAACUGGGUCUCAUAUCGGAUAGGACGAUGGUUUGGAUGUCAUUCUGGAAUGUUAUUCGGUGUGGGUUGAGCUCGCGGCCUAUCAGCUUGUUGGUGGGGUAAUGGCCUACCAAGGCGUCGACGGGUAGCCGGCCUGAGAGGGUGUACGGCGACAUUAGGACUGAGAGACGGCCCAGACGCCUACGGGAGGCAGCAGUGGGGAAUCUGGCACAAUGGGGGCGAGCCUGAGGCAGCGGCGCCGCGUGGGUGAUGACGGCCUUCGAGUGAUGAACUCCUUUCGCUAGGGACGAAGCGCAAGUGACGGUACCUAAAGAAAAAGCACCGGCUAACUACGUG
rnacentral:rRNA from 1 species